rnacentral:lncRNA from 1 species
UCGUACUUUUGGUUUAGGUUAAAAAUAUAUGAAAAAAAAACCACACUCCGUCACCUCACACACACGCCUCACCAUUCUCUCACCUCACCCCUCCUCUUCCUGUUCCACGGCCAUCAAUGGCGGUGUGAGUCGACAACAAUCAACUGCGGCGGCUGAUCUUCGUCUCCGGUAACGAUUAACGACGGCGCAAGCACAGCUGAUCUGUGCGCUAGCUCAAGCUUGGCCGAUCUGUUGCUUGCUCGAUUACUCUUCCUAUAUUCACUCAGAGUCAACUGUUUGACAAGAGUCGAAGUCCAAGGUUUUUUUUUUAAUUGAAGUUUUAAUUUAAUUUUUAUUUUUUAACUUGGUUUAGAACAAAAAUUCAUUCUUUAAUUUUGAUUUUCUGAGAAGUUAAUGAAUAUAUAAUGAAACUAUGUGUCUCAGAUUGAGGUCGGGCAUGUUUAUAUUUGCGUAAUCCGGAUACAGGAACCGUUUCAAAUAAAUUCAAGGUAACAUUCAAGUUUAUUUCAUCUUCUUCUCCCAUUUGUAGUUGAAAAUUAUCUCAAAAUCUUUUAUUUUCUGUGGGAUUAUGUUUAAUUUUGAGAGUUGGGUUUUGGUAAUGAGAUUGUUUAUGAUUAGGGUUGUCCCUCUUCCUAUUUUAGGCUUUUCAAUUUCGCCCAAGUGGUUGAAAGCUUUGCUUUAAUUUGUUUUCAUUGAUAGUUAAUAUCAAAAAUUCAAAAAAGAAAUUGAUAAUAAGGCUUAUCUAUUUUGUUUUUGCAUAUUUUGAUAACGUUUCUUGUCCCCAUUUGUGGUUCCACUUUUGGGGUUGAUUUGAUAAUUUUUCAUGGUUGAAGAAUGAUCUAUUGACCAUGUUCACAAAUUAGAUAUAUUAUUUUUCAUCAAACUAAAACAACAAUGGACAAUUCUAGGGUCUGUUGUGCUGCAGUUCUGCUAUCAAAAUAGCUCCUGGAAGUUUUCAAGAGCAGUUUUGCUGGUGUUCCACUAUGAAAACAACCCUGGAAAUUUGGAUGGGCUGUUUUGCUGCUGUUCUGUGAUGAAAACAGCCCCGAGAAAUUUGCAGGGGCCGUUUUGCUGCUGCUCUGCUAUGAAAACAGCCCCUGGAAAUUUGCAGAUGUUGGUUUGUUGCUGUUCUUGAGGGACUAAUGAUGUGUUUGGAUCUUUAUGCAACAGGUGCAAGUUUCUCCGUGUUUUAGUCGACACUAAAACCCCUGCUGACUUCAAGUGGCUCCCUUGAAUUGGCAAUUGGAUUUGCUCUGGUAAGUAUCUUUUUACUUUCUAUCUCUCACUCUGUUUCCAUAUUUCUUCAUAUUAUUAGUUCUAGAGCUUUUUUCCUUUUAAUAUUUUUUUAUUUUUUAUUUUCUAUUUCUGAAAUACUUGCUGGAUUGUAGUUUCUACUGAUUUUUUUUUUUUUUUUGUGAAAUAUUUUAGCUAUUUGUUGAUAGGUUUAGUUUAGGAGUUAUAUUGAAGAGUUUGGUGUUUAAUAUUAAGAACUAAGUAAUAGGUAAUGUUGAAAGAGAACACAUGCUUAGGUGAUACAUCAGUACAAAUUGUACCUUGAAAUCAGUUGAAAUUGUCUACUUGCUUCUAAAGUUUUUUUUUUCCCCCCGUAACUAGCUACACUUUUUUGUUUGGCAAAGCCCAAAAGAAAAUGAAAAGGAAAUCACGGACACAUGUAAUGUUUAUUUUGUAUAAUUUUUUUUCUUUGUUGUUUGAUUGUAAUAAUGAUUAAUGAUUUUUGAAAUCGGGUGGCUUGUUUGCAGGAAACCGAGUUAAGCUGCUGAAACAUUUUGAGAAAUAUAAUAAAUUUUAAUUUAUUAGACUUGCUCUAUGCUGGCUCUAUUUCUAAGCUUCUUCAUUUUGUUACCGUUCCUUCUCUGCAAAGUAUAGUUUUAAUUCUUGUACAGCAGCAUUAGCUUUUUCUCUGCUAAUAUCUAGUGUCUUUGUGCUUUCUUCACAAAUUAAGCUUUUGAACUAUAACAUUUCCUAUUAUGCAGCAUUAGAGCACUAGUUGGCAAGUGAUCGAUAGUGAUUUUGUUGAUGCCUUAAAGUUGGAAUGAUUAUGUUAUUAAAUUCUAAUUUGUACAUGAAUAGAACCUAGGCUAAUCAAAGAACGUUAGUUCUUGUCUGUUUUUUAUUUUACUAAAAUGUUGUUAUAUAUAUAGAUUGAUAAAUUGCUGUUCCUUUCACUUGCAUAUGAAUUUGUCCUUUCGUUAUGAUUUUCAAAGGUUUGUUAAGUUCAUUUACAUGUGGAUUUUAUGGUAGAUUUUGUUAAGAUAAUCAUGUGCAUUUCUCUUUUGGUAUUAAUUGUGGUAUGCUUGCUAUGUCUUAUUUAUUCGUGGCAGGUUGUGACCAUUUUGAAGAGUAACAGGUCACUCUACAUAUAAGUCUUCUGAAUUUAAAGUAUGGUAAGAAAAAGACAGUCUCCGAGCAUUUCUCUAUUUGAAUUUUCUUUUUAGUCGAGUGCUUCUAGCAAUUUUUAUAAUAAUGCCUUUCCAUUGAGUAAUUUCUGUCAUUGGCAAUGGUUUUACUGCUUAUGCUUCAUUAUUUUCUCCUGGAUACUUAAAGUUAUCUUGUUAUAUGUUUGGGAAAAGUAUAAAUUCAAAAGUUAUGAUAGAAUUCUUUUGCUAGUUUCAUUAUUGCAUAGAGUCCUAUAUAUAUUACACAACUAGGAAAUAUAACUGCGCUUCGCACGGCUUUGAAAGAAAAUUUAGUAUUUAUCCUUUUUUCAAACAUCUCUCCCAACUUUCCCCAUAAAGUAAUCUUUGUUGUCACCGAGCUAUCCAUAAAAAUUAACAAAAGUUAAUAAUGUAAAAAGAAAAACUCAUUAUAAAGAUAUCGUAUUAUCAUUAAAUUCGAAAGUCUCAAAUUACAUUACUAUAUAGUUGGUUACUUUUUUUUAUUCCAAAUCACCAAUAUUUUUAUUCCUUAUUUCAAUAUGAAUAUUACCACUUGACUUUUUUAUUUGUGUUUAUGAAGAGGUGGGUGUGAGGAAAAAAAAUGUUUUUCUUAAGAAUUAGAACAAAUAAUUAGGCAAUAAUUCAAGGAAUUGAGGUUGUUCAUUCUACAUUCUAAUUGGAUUUAGAGUGAUUUUCAUUAAUUUUUUCUUUUACAUUAAUUAUUUUAACAGCCAAGUACUGUUGUUUAUUCUACUGUGUCUGUGAGAAGAUGCUUAGUCUACCUAGAACAUAUUUUCUAAUUAAUUUUUCUUGUGAAUACGUUGAAUAAUCUCUAAGGGCUAUACCCUUUUUCAUUGUACUUUUAAUGGUUUUUCUUCAACCAAUAUUGGAUGUAUUCAUUGAAAAAGAAAAUUAAAAAUUAGGUAAUAACUAAUAAGAUUAGUGCAGUCAAACUGUUUGUCAAUUCUUAUGAUAAAACAAUAAUUAAAAAAAAAGUUAUAGUUUUCUUGAUUAUAUUUAACUUACUAAUCUGAUAGAACUUUUAUAUCUCUUUUCUUCCAGCCACAACUCCAACGAUUUCAAUAUCACCCACACCAUAUAAAUUUCCGACAACAUUUGUAAUAUCAUGGAAAAAUAAUAUAAACAUGUUAAAAUAUAAGGAUCAAUAAUUUUUAAUAUACACUUAAAGAUUAAUAAAUAUUAAUAAUUAAAAUAAAUAAAUGAGAGGAUUGUGUUGUCAUUCACAUGUAAAUCAAUAAAAUUCAGAGAUACAAAUUGGAAUUCAUUGUUCGAAAUUUGAUCAGUUUUUUCUUCUAAUUUCUUAAGCAAAGUUGUAAUUAAGAAAAUAAUCUUAUACUGAAUUGAAAGUGGUCUGUACUCGCCUAAUGUUAAAAUAAUUUUUUAAUUGUUGACACUAUACAAAGAAUUCUCAUUCAACAUGUGCCUAAAUUUUGUCACUAAAUUUUUUCUGAUUGUUGUAUGCAUUAGAUUUUCCUAUAAAAAAAAUGCUACAUUAUGUGUAAAACUAUUGGCAAAAAAAAAAAAGAUAAUUAGAGAAAACAAUGGGAGAAGGAAUUUUUUAUACAUAUUUUUCAUUAAUAAAAAUUAUGUCUAUACUAAUUAAUUCUCUAUUCUUCUUGGGAUUAACAGACUUUCACAUCCUACAAAACUUAACCCUUAUGAUUCAAAUAAGUCAAACAAUCAAAACACAAGAAUCCUUCUAAAGAGUGUUAGCUUAUAUGACUGUAAAAUAUUGAUUUUGAUGAUAACAAAUUAUAUAUUUUGGAUAAAUAAAGAAUUAUACAUUAUGUUUUUAUAACAAGAAAAUAAUUUUAUAAAAUUAGUUAUUUUUCAAGUUGCGGACUAAAAUGAAAUUUUUUUAUCAUUUUUUAUUUUAACAAAUAUUGUUUUGAAUUUUAAAUUUGGACCUAUUUAUAAAUAUUUGAAACAAGUUGGGUCAUAUUAUAAUUUUUAUAAAUUCGGGUUUUAUCAUAAUUUUAGCAAGUUUUGGGAAUGACAAGCAUUAUUUAGAAAUUUAGAAAUUAGAUCUUUUUAUAAAGGUUUAUGACGUUUUAGGCUAUAAUAUAAUUUUAUAAAGGUUGGGUAAAAUUAUAAUUUUAGAAAAUGGUUGUUUCAUUGUAGCAAAGCGGCUAACCAGAUUCAGAAAGCAGCAAACUGGUUAUGGACAGAAACUCAAUUGAAUGAAAGUGGUUAAUCGGAUUUAGAAAGCAGUAAACUAGAUGUGCAAAAAUUUAAAUUUUUUAACAUAAUGGUAACAUAAAGUGGCAAGUUAGUUAUCACCAGAAAGCCAAUAACAGUUAGUUUUAUUCAAUUAUAAAUUGGCUCAAAUGAAAUUCAAUCUAUGUGAUGCAACUAUUGUUAUUAUUGAGCAUUUCUCUGCAAGUUUAAAGUAUAAACUUUGUGUAUUCAUUUCAUUUGGUAAGAGGAAAAUUUGUUAUUUAUGAGAAAUAUUCAUAUGCAUUUAUGCAUGAGGAGUCUUUUAAUAACAAACAAAUUUCCUCCUUUCAUUUGCUCUGAUACUAAAUGAAAUGUAAGUUACGCAAUCCAAGAGAGGGAGCGAAUUAUUAUUUUAAAACUUACGCUAAUCAAAUCAUAUAAUAAUUCAAUCUAAUGCCCUAAUAGAAUUGAAAAUAAUAAAUUUAAUAAAUCAUAAUAAUAAAAGAGUAAGAGAAGAGAAAACAAACAUAAGGAUUUUUACAUGGUUCGGCAAUUUCUGCAUACGUCCAUGCCUUCAAGCACACUGGACUUAAGGAUUUCAUUAUCCAAGCCUGACAAGGCUUCAAACGCUUACAAUUGGCUUUCAAGGUGUUAAUGGAUCUCUACAACAAGAAAUUAUCUUCAAUCUCUUAACAUAAGUGUAUCUUAACACUUACAAUCUCUCAAUUUGAUUUUACAAAAAAGAUUACAAAAAUUUCUCUCAUGCAAUGUGUUUGAAUACAAAUGAAAGCCCAAUAUGUGUGAAUAAAUGAAAUGAAUAUACAAAGUUUAUGCUUUAGACUUGCAGAGAAAUGUUCAAUAAUAACAAUGUUUGCAUCACUUUGAUUGAAUUUGAUUUAAGUUAAUUUAUAGUUGAAGAAGAAAAUUAGUCGUUAUUGACUUUUUGGUGAUAAUUGGCUUGCCGCUUUAUGUUACCAUUAUGUUAAAAAAUUUGAAUGUUUGCACAUUCAGUUUGCCGCUUUUUAAAUUCGGUUAGCCGUUUAGCUACAGUCAAACAAUUAUUUUCUAAAAUUAUAGUUUUACCCAAGCCUUUAUAAAAUUAUACUAUGGCUCAAAACGUCAUAAACCUUUGCAAUAAGGUCCAAUUUCAGAAUUUCUAAAUAAUACUUGUCGUUUUCAAAACUUACUGAAAUUAUGAUAAAGCUCGAAAUUAUAGUAUGGCCCAAAACAUUUCAAAUAUUUACAAAUAGAUCUAAAUUCAAAACAAUAUUUAUUAAAACCAAAGAUGAUAAAAAAUUUUCAUUUUUUAGUCCACAUUUUGAAAAAUAACUAAUUUCAUAAAAUCAUUUUCUUGUUAUAAAAGCAUAAUGUAUAAUUAUUUGUUUAUCCAAAAUAUGUGGUUUGUUAUCAUCAAACAACAUAGGAUAACAAUCUCUCCUUUUUUUGGUGAGGACAAAACACAUUAUAAAGAUUUGAUUUAGUUAUGAAAAACUCCCUCUUAAUCAAUGUAAGAUUAAAAAUUAAUUUGAAAAUGAUUUAAAAGACUCCCCCUGCAUAAAUGUAUAUAAAUAUUUUUUUAUAACAAAUAAAUUUUUUCCUUACAUAUUAUAUCUCUCCCUUCAUCAUCAAAAAUAGUAAAAAAGCUUCCCCUAUCAAUCAUCAAAAUCUCAAGACAAACACAUUAGUUUCACAUUAUCCAAAACAUAACCAAUAAUCAUAUCAAAUUCACAUAAUUCAAAAUAGAUACAUAAUCCAAAAAUAUAACAAACAUCCAUAUAAUCUAAAUGGAGAAUAAAAAAAGUAAAGCAGUAAAUGUUUGUGUGUCUAAAUAUAAGCAUAAGAGACUAUUGAGGUGCUAACGAAUAUGGAAUGCCAAAGUACUCAAAGAGGAGGUGUUGUUCAUGAAUGAGUUGCUGAUGCUGCUAUGAGAGGCGCUGGUGCUAUUCAAGAAUGUGCUGCUGAAAAUCGGUCUGCUGCACAGAAAGUGUCCUCAUCUCAUCCAUAAGCUGCUGAAGAGUAAUCUCGUCAGAGGCAGGAGGCUCUGGAGGUGGUAAAGCAUAUGCAAAGACAUCAGGAGCAAAGGUAGGCACAGAAAGUGUCAUCACCUCAUCCAUAAGUUGCUAAAGAGUAAUCUCGUCAGAUGCAGGAGGCUCUAGAGGUGGUACAACAUAUGCAAAGACAUCAGGAGCAGAGACAGACACUGGAGGGACUCGACGUCUACGCUGACCCCGAAAUGGAAGCGAAAAUAAGGAAGUUGAUCAGUAGGAACCACAUCGAGUGACCGAUCAUCAUUUGGAGCAAGAAAAAUGUACUUAUUGUCAGUGAAUUUUACUCAAGUUCCAUUACGCCACUCAAAUCCUAACGCACAUACAGUUUCAUCCUCGAUACUCUUAGAAGGUUUACAAGAUGGUUCAUUGAUAGGUAUUUUAAAAUGUCUAAGGAUCCGAGUGAUAAAAUGACCAUAUAGAAGAGAACGAGUAAUCAAUUUAGGUAUAGAAAGCAUGGUUCGGAUAAUGGUGUACCCUAAGUUAACGGGACGAUGUCUAAGGAUGGAAUUAAUCAAAACAACAUCCAUGUGAGAAACUUCAUCCAAAUGCCCCGACCUAGGAAGCACAAUGAUCUGAAUAAAAUGAAGAUCCGAGUUUGGAGACAUAGACAUUGAGUGCGGAAAUGGAUGUUACAAAUUUCAUCAGAAAUAUCAAUAUGCCGGCAUAUAUUUUUAACAGCGUCAACAUGAACAUAAUGACCAAUAUCGGGAGAUUUUCGAGUAGAAAAUAUUUUUAGGCCAAAAUCGGAGAUUCCUAGGAUAGAAUUUAAUUCUGAAACAUCAAAAUCAAUCAAAACUCCUCGGAAAUAUCCAUAUUCGAGUAAAAUACUUUCACCAAGUCGGGAUACACAUUCUCCUCAAUCACAAGAGCAUUAAUCCAAUCAACUUCUUUCAACAAUUGAAACAAAUUUCUAUUACUAAUACGGAGACUACAAAGCUAAUUCGGUAAAACAAAAAAUGUAGAGAGUACCUCGCAGGUCAUGAAAUUUUAGUGAAAUUGCUUGACUAAACGCUUGUUUGGAAAGUGCUUGGAUUCAAAGUUGGACUGAUUUGAAGUGUCUCAUGCCUGCCUGCCUGCCUGCUAUGGCCGUUUUGCUGGUUAAACAUGUUCUUUCCCUUUUUCUCUAAUCAGCCUUGAACUAUGCAUGAUAAUGUUAAGUGAUUUGAAGAUAAAUGAAGUAAUAAAAAAAAGAUAAUGAGGUAGAAAUAAGAUAUUGAUGUUCAAUUUAGGUGGAAGAUGACUUAAGAAGAAAUUUAAAGAGAGAAAGUUCGGUUGAAAACUUAGGUUAGAAAUAGGAUCUUGUAAGUUUGAUGAUGAAAAUGGAUUUUGAAGAUGAUUUUGAGCACAAGGAAUGGUGGGGAAUGAUUUUUGUGAUCAAUUUGGUGCAAAAGUGAAUAAAGAUGAUGAAUUUUAGAGUGAGAGUGAGAGAGGAAGGAAAUGGUUUUAGAGAGAGUGAGAAUCGGUUUGCCGAAUGGAUAGAAGAAGAUGAAUAGUUCUUAAAAAGCCCGAAUUCGGCUUAUCGGAUUGCACUAACCGGCUAACCAAUUUGUGUCUAGAAAGUGAAAAAUUGAAAACGGUUUACUGGUUUCCCUAUCCGACUGAUCGAUUAUUUCCCGUGAAUGCCAAAGGAAAAUCCGGCUUAUCGGUUUGCAAUAUUUGGCUGACCGAUUAUGAUCCAAUGAAUGCCAACACAAAUUCAACUUACCGUUUCAAAGAAACUGGCUGACCGGUACUGGUCCAGAGAGAAAAAUUAAGAAACGAUUUACCGAUUUUCCUAAUCGGCCAUCCGGAUUGUGGCCCGAGAGUAACCUUUAAGAAAACGAGCUAUGGAUUUUCUAUAUCCGGUUAUCCAUAUUUGGUCCAGUGAGUAAUAAUAAGAAAAACAACUUUUCGGUUGAUUAGAAGCGGCAUGUUGGUUUAUCCUUAGAAAUUAUUUUUGGAAAUCUUCAAAAUUAAAUUCAUGCUUGCAUGUCCUAGUCUUCUAUGUCAUAGCCAACCAUCACCAUAUAAUGUCGAAAAACAUUUAUCAUAAGUAGAUGCACAUUUUAUGUCAAUGAUAUAAACAUUACCAAAUCUUGCCAUCAUAUGCAUUUUUAAUAAUACAUUUAGAUUUAAGGUAAAUUGAACAUCAAUAACUCGUUUCUACCUCAUUAUCUUUUUUUUAUUACUUCAUUUAUCUUCAAAUCACUCAACAUUAUCAUGUAUAGUUCAAGGCCGGUUAAAGGAAAAAAGAAAAAACAUGUUUAACAAGUAAAACGGCCAUGGCAGGCAUGCAGGGGACACUUCAAAUCAGUCCAACUUUGAAUCCAAGCACUUUCCGAACAAGCACUUAGUCAAACGAUUUCACCAAAAUUUCAUGACUCGUGAGGUACUAUCUACAUUUUUUGUUUUACCAGAUUGGCUUCGUAGUCUCAGUAUUAGUAAUAGAAAUUUGUUUCAAUUGUUAGAAGAAGUUGGUUGGAUUAAUGCUCUUGUGAUUGAGGAGCAUGUGUAUCCCAACUUGGUGAAAGUAUUUCAUUCGAAUAUGGAUAUUUCUUAGGAAUUUUGAUGUUUUAGAAUUAAAUUCUAUUCUAGGAACUUCCGAUUUUGGUCUAAAAAUAUUUUCUGCUAGGAAAUCUCCCGAUAUUGGUCAUUAUGUUCAUGUUGACACCGUUAGAAAUAUAUGCCGGCGUAUUGAUCUUUCUGAUGAAAUUUAUAACAUCCAUUUCCGCACUCAAUGUCUAUGUCUCCAAAUUCGAAAUUUACUUUAUUUUAUUCAAACCAUUAUGCGUACUAGGUCAAGGCAUUUGGAUGAGGUUUCCCACAUGUAUGUUGCUUUGAUUGAUUCUAUCCUUAAACAUCGUCCCGUUAAUUUGGGUUACACUAUUAUCCGAACCAUGCUUUCUAUACCUAAAUUGAUUAUCCGUUCUCUUCCAUAUGGUCAUUUUAUUACAUGGAUCCUUAAACAUUUUUGGGUACCUAUCAAUGAACCAUCUUUUAAAGAUUCUAAGAGUAUUGGGGAUGAAGCUAUAUAUGCGUUAGGAUUUGAGUGGCGUAAUGGAGCUUGGGUGAAAUUCACUGACAAUAAGUACAUUUUUCUUGCUCUAAAUGAUGAUCGACCACUCAAUGAUGUGGUUCCUACUGAUCCACUUCCUGAUUUUUCGCUUUCAUUUCAGGGUCAGCGUAUACGUCGAGUCCCUCCAGUGUAUGCCUCUGACGAGAUUACUCUUCAACAGGUUAUAGAUGAGGUGAUGAUACUUUCUGUGCAGCAGAUCGAUUUUCAGUAGCACAUUCUUGAGGAGCACCAACGCCUCUCACAGCAGUAUCAACAGCUCAUUCAUGGACAGCACCUCCUCUUUGAGCACUUUGGCAUUCCAUAUCCGUUUCUACCUCAGUAGUCUCUUAUGCUUAUAUUUGGACACACCAACAUUUACUGUUUUAUGUUCUUUUAUUCUCC